AUUGAACGCUGGCGGAAUGCUUUACACAUGCAAGUCGAACGAUGAAGCCUAGCUUGCUAGGUCGAUUAGUGGCGAACGGGUGAGUAAUAUAUCGGAACGUAUCCAAUAAUGGGGGAUAACUAGUCGAAAGAUUUGCUAAUACCGCAUACGUCCUACGGGAGAAAGCUGGGGAUCGUAAGACCUGGCGUUAAUGGAGCGGCCGAUAUCUGAUUCGCUAGUUGGAGAGGUAAAGGCUCACCAAGGCGACGAUCAGUAGCUGGUCUGAGAGGACGACAAGUCACACUGGAACUGGGACACGGUCCAGACUCCUACGGGAGGCAGCAGUGGGGAAUUUUGGACAAUGGGCGAAAGCCUGAUCCAGCCAUUCCGCGUGAGUGAAGAAGGCCUUCGGGUUGUAAAGCUCUUUCGCAAGGGAAGAACACUUACUUAAUAACACUAAGUGAGGUUGACGGUACCUUGAUAAGAAGCACCGGCUAACUACGUGCCAGCAGCCGCAGUAACAC
rnacentral:rRNA from 1 species